rnacentral:rRNA from 1 species
GACGAACGCUGGCGGCGUGCUUAACACAUGCAAGUCGAGCGGUAAGGCCCCUUUCGGGGGGUACACGAGCGGCGAACGGGUGAGUAACACGUGGGUGACCUGCCCUCAGCUCUGGGAUAAGCCUGGGGAAACUGGGUCUAAUACUGGAUAUGACUCCACGGUGCAUGUCGUGGGGUGAAAGCCUUGUGCGGCUGAGGAUGGGCCCGCGGCCUAUCAGCUUGUUGGUGGGGUGANCGGCCUACCAAGGCGACGACGGGUAGCCGGCCUGAGAGGGCGACCGGCCACACUGGGACUGAGACACGGCCCAGACUCCUACGGGAGGCAGCAGUGGGGAAUCUUGCGGCAAUGGGCGAAAGCCUGACGCAGCGACGCCG